AUUUUGCUCGAUUUAUUAAGACUCUAUUUUGACUCUUCUCUUCUUCUUCCUUCAUUUGGUUUCUCUUUCUUCUCUACUUAGUUCACUGCUGCUCUUCGUCAUUAUCGAGAGCAGUUAAUAUAUUUUAUUUACUUUUGCUUCAUUUUACAUUUGUCUAAAUCUUGCAAUGUUGAUGAAAACUCUUUUUCUUCGCUGCCUCAUUCUGUUUCUCCUGUUUUUCGCUUCGUUCUCGCUUGCUCACGAACUCGCGGAGUCAGAUCAGCUCGAGCUCACCAGCAACGAUACAGCUGUCUCAAAUGCCUCUCUAUCUAAACUUAAAGAAGGCACUUUCGCUAAAAUCAUUGACGAUGCUCUUCAGAGAGAGUUUCCUGAAUCUGAAAAUGAACAAAACGACGCAACUGAUUCUGGAAGCUUCAAUAACAGUGUAGCUGAGAAACAGGCAGUUUUGGAAACUGUUGCCAGAGUUAAACCAAAGAAAAAUGACACGAAAGAGGAAAAGUCAUUUAAACUCCACCAUGUGUUCAAUUUGGACAAUGAUAACGGUGCUGAAGAUACCCCAACACUUAUUGACAGAAAGGACAAUGUCUUCAUCAUAUCUAAUUUUAAAUCAAAAUAUCCAGUGCUGCAGCUAGACUUGAGAUUGAUAUCAGAUUUGGUUGUCGUCAUUGUAUCUGCAACUUGUGGUGGCAUUGCGUUUGCUUGUGCUGGACAACCGGUUAUUACUGGAUAUUUGCUGGCGGGAUCUGUUAUUGGGCCUGGAGGUUUCAGCUUUGUUAGCGAAAUGGUCCAAGUUGAGACAGUGGCUCAAUUUGGUGUUAUUUUUCUUCUUUUUGCAUUGGGCCUGGAAUUCUCAACAAGCAAACUUCGAGUUGUUCGAGCGGUCGCUGUUCUAGGAGGUCUUCUCCAAAUUGUUUUAUUUAUGUUCCUAUGUGGAAUUACUGCCAUGUUAUGUGGUGGUAAGCCUUCGGAGGGUGUAUUUGUUGGUGCUUUUCUUUCAAUGUCUUCAACAGCAGUGGUUUUGAAGUUUUUGAUGGAAAAGAAUUCUACAAAUGCCCUUCAUGGACAAGUAACCAUUGGCACCCUUAUUCUGCAGGACUGUGCUGUUGGUUUGCUAUUUGCUUUGCUCCCAGUUCUUGGUGGAACAUCUGGUGUUCUUCAAGGAGUGAUGUCGAUGACUAAAUUGUUAGUGGUGUUGAUUGCAUUUUUAACUGUCUUGUCAAUAUCAUGUCGUACUUGUGUUCCUCGGUUUCUUAAACUGAUGAUGAGCCUAUCCUCACAGACCAAUGAGCUCUACCAAUUAGCAGCAGUAGCAUUCUGCUUACUUAUAGCCUGGUGUAGUGACAAGCUAGGCCUAAGUUUAGAAUUGGGCUCGUUUGCUGCUGGGGUAAUGAUAUCGACAACUGACCUUGCUCAACAUACGCUAGAACAGAUAGAACCCAUUCGGAAUAUUUUUGCUGCUCUCUUCCUUUCCAGCAUUGGAAUGCUGAUUAACGUUCAUUUUCUCUGGAACCAUGUUGAUAUAUUGCUAGCAUCUGUUAUAUUAGUCAUGAUCAUCAAGACUACCAUAAUCACAACAGUCGUAAAGGGAUUUGGUUAUAACAGCAAGACUGCACUGCUUGUUGGAAUGUCUUUGGCUCAAAUAGGGGAAUUUGCUUUCAUCCUUCUCAGCCGCGCUUCUAAUCUUCAUCUAGUUGAGGGGAAGGUUUACCUGCUCCUUCUGGGGACAACAGCUCUUAGCCUGGUAACAACUCCUCUGCUUUUCAAGCUCAUCCCUGCCGUGGCACAUCUAGGGGUGCUGUUACGGUGGUUUCCACCUGACAGUUCUGUUGAGAUUGGAUUCAAAGGAGAUAGCUUCCGCUCUGACAGUGGUAAACAGCGGAUUACCCUAGUUGUCCAAGGACCUCAUGACUCCUAAAUUCUGUACAUAGAUGUUGUGAAAGUGUUGCUUCAAGUUUAUUUGACGAGACUCGAGAGUGUGUUGUGCUCUGGUCAGUUUUCCCUGCUGUGCAGUACGAAGUUGCAUUUUCUCCCUCAAACAAGGCAUUGUUGGAAAUUUUGUCUGUUGUAUGUUCCUGACUAAACUAUUACAAUCUAGCCUUGGAAAUGCAAGAACAGGGAAAAGGAAAAAAAAAUUUCAAGAAGAUGAAGCAGAACCAUUAGGCAUGUGGAGCAAGACGUUCUUGGGUCCUUCACUGCACUUCUCACUAUCUUUGGAUAAGUGAUUUAUUGGAGAGUUCACCUCGAUAGGAUGAAAGAAAAGUUCCUUGGCAUGAGUUCCGAUCUCUUCAGUUCAGUUAGUACGUUCCUGAAUUUCAAUGCUUACAAUGACCUGUAUUCAGAUAAUCCUUCAUCAUCAAUGCCUCCAAUGACUUCCGAUAGCUGAGGACUUAUUUUGGCUAAUUUUUUAUUUAUAAUUUAUAGGCCGGUUUGAUAUCACUAUGUAAGAUUUGAUAUUUUACUAUUGGAGAUAGGUGGCUCACGAACUGGAGACCUAUUACAGACAGUUUCUAACCAUGACACAUCUGUAGUAUGGUGGUUAUAUGUGAUUUUGUAGUUAGAAAAUUAAUUUUACUUUUUUAA